GGUGUGCACAGGGAUGAAGGUCAUUCCAGACGACGGCAGAGGCUCUCUGGCUUCCCAAAGAUGGAAUCAGGAAUCGCUAAUUACGAGCGUCGGCAUUCCUUAUGGGAACCACUCCCUCUCCUUCGUCCAACCGGGAUCCGGAUAUAGACACAGCAGCGCUGGUAGGGACGCGGUGCCCUCACAUGAUGGAUUGGAGGCGAGGGCUGCCUGACGUGCAGCCCUCGGGGGGAGAGACGAGGGGCUUACGAGGGAAGAGGCUCGUGAUCAACUCCAGAUAAUGGGCAUCAUGAAAUAUUUUUUAAAUAUAUUAUUUAAUCAUCAUCGUUAAUUUUAAGAAGAAUAUAUCUCUAUAAAGUGGGAAAUUAACUCGUAAAAUGAAGUUAUAUAUAAA